GAAACUGCGAAGGGCUCAGUAAAUCAGUUAUUGUCCGCUCGAUUAUUAACACCAUGGAUAACUGUGGUAAAUCUAGAGCUAAUACAUCGCAAUCCGUGCAGCAAUGUGCGGUGCAUUUAUUGGACAUAACCACGGGAGCUUGCUCCCAAGGUGAAUCUGGAUAACUGUGUAGAUCGCAUGGCCAAGUGCCGGCGACAAUUCGAUCGAAUUUCUGCCCUAUCAACUAGUUGGUAAGGUAGUGGCUUACCAAGGUUGUGACGGGUAACGGGGAAUCAGGGUUCGAUUCCGGAGAGGGAGCCUGAGAAACGGCUACCACAUCUAAGGAAGGCAGCAGGCGCGCAAAUUACCCAAUCCAGACAUUGGGAGGUAGUGACGAGAAAUACCAAAGUGUGCCUUCGGGUACAUUAUUGGAAUGAACGUAACAUAGUACCUUUGAUGAGUACCUACUGGAGGGCAAGUCUGGUGCCAGCAGCCGCGGUAAUUCCAGCUCCAGUAGUGUAUAUCAAAAUUGUUGCGGUUAAAACGCUCGUAGUUGGAUUACAAAAGUCAGGCGUUGGUCGAGCAAUGGCUUGGUCAAUGCAGGGCUUUUUUAUCGCAAGAACCACUCGUGCAUUUAACCGUGUGCGGGUGAUCACUUGCGGAGCGUGCCUUGAAUAAAGCACAGUGCUCAAAGCAAGCGUAACGCUCGAAUGUUUAAGCAUGGAACGAAUAAUUCUGACUACAGGUUCAGUUGUUGGUUAUCUGAGCCGGGUCCUGAUUAAAAGGGACAUUUGAGGGCGUUAGUACUUGGCGGCGAGAGGUGAAAUUCUUAGACCCGUCAAAGACUCACUGAUGCGAAAGCAUUCGCCAAGAAUGUUUUCAUUGAUCAAGAACGAAAGUUAGAGGUUCGAAGACGAUCAGAUACCGUCCUAGUUCUAUACAGUAAACUAUGCCACCAAGGGAUCAGUUCGGAAUUGUAUCCAGGUUGGUCCCUCCAGGAAACUCGAAGAUUUCGGGCUCCGGGGGGAGUACGGUUGCAAGGCUGAAACUUAAAGGAAUUGACGGAAGGGCACCACCAGGAGUGGAGCCUGCGGCUUAAUUUGACUCAACACGGGGCAACUCACCAGGUCCAGACAUUGAAAGGAUUGACAGACUGAUAGAUCUUUCGAGAUCCAAUGAUUGGUGGUGCAUGGCCGUUCUUAGUUGGUGGAGCGAUCUGUCAGGUCUAUUCCGGUAACGAGCGAGACCACGAUCUCUAUUUGACUACGGUUAUUUACCGUCGUAACCGGUCAUAGAGAGACCACCGGAGUACAAGCCGGGGGAAGCGUGGCAAUAACAGGUCUGUGAUGCCCUUCGAUGUUCUGGGCUGCACGCGCGCUACAAUGGCAGUGACAACAAGAUUCUGCUUCGAGAGGAGUGGAAAACCUUGGUAAUCGCUGUCGUGAUUGGGAUUGAGCCUUGUAAUAAUUGCUCAUGAAAGAGGAAUUCCUCGUAAGCGCGUGUCACCAACUCGUGUUGAAUACGUCUCUGCCCUUUGUACACACCGCCCGUCGCUACUACCGAUUGAAUGGCUUUUCGAGAUGUC
rnacentral:rRNA from 1 species